CACAAUUACACAGUCAUCGUUGAUGAAUCAUGUAAUGUGACUUUCCACUGCGGGUCGAGUUGGGUUAUGGUCUGACUUUUACCAGGGAGAAGAAGUUACCUCCUGUGAUUUAUUGUGUGUGUGUGUGUUUUAACUUUUUAAAGUUCAUUUCAAGUUUGUUCACUUAACUUCCGUCUACAUAUACUUUGUAGAAGAAAUCAACCUCCUCCCGUUACCUCUAGGAAUUCUAUUGUAAUUAUCCUCAUGAAUAGGGAUGUCAACGAAUCGAGUUGAACCGACUUGCGAACCAAAAUUUUUGGCUCGAGCUCGGCUCGAGCUUUUCUAAGGUGGGCUUUUUUUGGCCCGAACCGGGCCGAGCUUGAAAAUUAAGGCUCGACCUGAGCUUUUGGCUAGGGCUUUACCGAGCCAAGCUCGAUUUCUGGAUUUUUUUUUUUUUUUUUUAAUACCUCUUGCUGCCUGUGUGGUAGCUAUUUUAGCUGCAGAUUAGCUGCCUAACCAGCAGCAGACCUGCUGCCAAUUGGCAGCUUGAUAUGGCUGCCUUAUGAAGUUGCUAGUUAAGGCAGUUUAGCUGCCAAGAUUUCUCCUGUCUUUUUUUUUUAUUUUUUUUAUUCAAAUAAUACGGGCCGGCCCGACUGAAGCCAACUCUAAAAAAUGAGGCUUGGAGGCUCCGAGCCUCGAGCCGAGCCGGCUUGAGCUUUUUCCGAGCUGAGCCACGAGCGGCCCGAGCCAACGAGCCCGAUUGCCAUCCCUGCUCAUGAACCAAAUAUAAAAUAUGUAUGGAUUUCAGGAACAAUACAGAAAGUUAAGGGAACAAAGUUAAAACAAUUGAGAUACAAAGCAUUACAUCUUCCAACAACCAAUUUGUAUUCAAACUAAAGUUAUUUGUAUAGCCAAACAUAUUAGUAAGUUUGCAGGAUAUAAAGACAUGAAGAAAGAGGCAUGAUUCUGAUUUUGUUUGCACAUAUAUAUCCAAAACCUUUACCUGUAAUGUCAGGUAAAAGAUGCUGAAAUUAGAUCGUAAAUAUAAAAGCAUACAACUGACUUAGACGUGCAGAAUCUAUGCGGGUUUGUGGAACCCUUCUGCAAAAGCCAUGGGCAUCACAUAAAGUCCCCUGCUAUGCAAUAGUUCGGUGGCUGCUGAGGGAUUGACCUCAAACAACUUUCCCAUCAUCUCUUCAAGAGGCUCGUGGAUCAUCUGCUCAUGAAUGAAGUAAUGGCCAUAUCCCUAUAAAAAGGAAAUAAUAUAACAAAUCCUUAUAAGAUGCCAGAGUACAUAGAAAAUAGUUGCUUUUAGAGCAAUGAAGUGGCUUAUAAGCAAUCUGGUUAACUAUUUAUUCUCGAUUUCUAGUACCUCGAGGAAUAUAAAAGGACUAGAAGUUGAUUCACUUCCCAGUCUGCUUCGACUCAAAUCCUGCACAAUCAAAUAUCUAAAAAAAUCAGCCUAGUGAUUGACUAGGAAUAAAGAUUCAAAAUUACAAGAUUGCUAGAAAACCAUCAGAAUAGCCAUAUAAACAGAUCAUGUCAAUGCAGAAAGCAUUACAAUAAGCAAAUUUUGGCAGCAUCAAAUCCUGCUGCCUUCUAAGUUAAACUAAUUUCAACACAUCUAGUUAUAGAAUAAACCCUUUGUCGGUGCUUUCUGACAUCCAUCGUGCUAUAUUCUACUGAAAUAUAGGAUAUACAAGAGAUCAUUUUACUCACGUUAAGAUACGUGAAAGAGUGAUUUUCCAAGUACAAACUAAUGCAUCAAAAAAGAAAUUCAUGAAACUAAAAUCUAUCUGAUCUUGGAAAACUUGUCAUCUGUUCUCUUUUUUUUUUUUUUUUUUUUUUGAAGUAUAGUCAUAUGUGCUUUUAGAAAUUUUUAAAGAGUAUAAUAUAUUAUUUGGAGAGCAUAAGUUUAGAGAGUUAAAAUUUUAAAGUAUUCCAUCAAACUCUUUAUAUUUGACACUUAAUUUUACUACUUUCAAAAAAUAUUUAUUAUUUUUCUAUCUUUAUUUUAACUAACUUUUUUUCUAAAUUAUUUUAUUAUUUUCCUACAUUGAAAAUUAAAACACUUUGAAUGCAGUCAAACCCACUCUCUAAAUUAAAUUGUAAAUUUAAAGAGUUCAUCAGAUCAUGAUUUUAAGAGUUGACUCUUUAAAAUGGAAAGUAUUUCAUGUUUAAAGAAUCUUUUGGAGAAGCAUUUAGUCAGGCCUUUCAGUUCCUCUUAUAAGUGUGGUAUUGCAAUACAAAACUUGAGGACAACUAAAUAGACCAAACAAGAUUGCUUCACAGAAAGUGAAUGAUGGAUACUUGAGGCCUAAUCUCUCUCUUUUUAGUUCAUUACAGCAACCUAAAAAUGACCUAAAUAUGCAACACGUAAAGCUUAUGAACGAACUGUUAUACAAGACGGUGCAGGAAGAGAAUAUUUAGUAGCUGACUCUAUUUUUACGGCAUUUUUAGUGAAAAUUGGACAAUCAUUAACAGAGACAUCCCCCUUAAAUUUAUACUCUGUGCUGUACUUGUACUCUAUCCUGGGACAGAAAGCAAGUGGGUGCCAAGGCCACAUCGAUUGCCAAUUAAUCCUCAUCCACUGUGUGCUUCCCAAUAUGCAUUAGUAAAUCAUGCCUGUGCAACACUGCCAUUCACUCCACUCCCUCCACCCACCCAUCUGACAUCGUCUUCUCCGUCCGAUGGCUCAAGUCGUAGGCAUCGGCACAAGCAUGGACACAGACACAUGAGGGACGGACAUGAGAAAGCACGUGGUGAACAUAAUUGUUGCCGAUGGUUAAGAGAACUUGACAGUGUUCGUGUUUGUGUUCUGCUUGAGCACUUGCAUCCGUUCCUUUGUAGGCCUGUGCACAAUUACACAGUCAUCGUUGAUGAAUCAUGUAAUGUGACUUUCCACUGCGGGUCGAGUUGGGUUAUGGUCUGACUUUUACCAGGGAGAAGAAGUUACCUCCUGUGAUUUAUUGUGUGUGUGUGUGUUUUAACUUUUUAAAGUUCAUUUCAAGUUUGUUCACUUAACUUCCGUCUACAUAUACUUUGUAGAAGAAAUCAACCUCCUCCCGUUACCUCUAGGAAUUCUAUUGUAAUUAUCCUCAUGAAUAGGGAUGUCAACGAAUCGAGUUGAACCGACUUGCGAACCAAAAUUUUUGGCUCGAGCUCGGCUCGAGAAGGUGGGCUUUUUUUGGCCCGAACCGGGCCGAGCUUGAAAAUUAAGGCUCGACCUGAGCUUUUGGCUAGGGCUUUACCGAGCCAAGCUCGAUUUCUGG
rnacentral:lncRNA from 1 species